rnacentral:rRNA from 1 species
UACGUAGGGUGCAAGCGUUGUCCGGAAUUAUUGGGCGUAAAGGGCUCGUAGGCGGUCUGUCACGUCGGGAGUGAAAACUCGGGGCUUAACCCCGAGCCUGCUUCCGAUACGGGCAGACUAGAGGUAUGCAGGGGAGAAUGGAAUUCCUGGUGUAGCGGUGAAAUGCGCAGAUAUCAGGAGGAACACCGGUGGCGAAGGCGGUUCUCUGGGCAUUACCUGACGCUGAGGAGCGAAAGUGUGGGGAGCGAACAGG